CUUUUUGUUCAUUGUCGCUUCUCGCAGCACGUCUGGAGGCUUUUCAAGACUCGUCUGGGAAUAGACUUUCUUUCGCCGGACGACAGCUUCUGCUCCAUCGAGGAUUGGUGGCUACAGGCCAGAGCAAGAGUGCCCACGAGGAUGCGUCGCAACUUUGUCACCGUCACCAUCCUGAUUCAUUGGUGGCUGUGGAAGGAAAGAAACUCCAGGAUAUUCGAUCAGACGACUAGCAGUGCAGACAGGGUGCUUGAUCUCAUUUGCGAAGACAUUGCCGUCUGGCGACCAGCGGGAUGCGUUAUGGAGCUGGGUGUUUAA
rnacentral:rRNA from 1 species